rnacentral:rRNA from 1 species
AGCGAACGCUGGCGGCAGGCUUAACACAUGCAAGUCGAGCGCCCCGCAAGGGGAGCGGCAGACGGGUGAGUAACACGUGGGAACGUGCCUUUUGGUUCGGAACAACCCAGGGAAACUUGGGCUAAUACCGGAUAAGCCCUAACGGGGAAAGAUUUAUCGCCAAAAGAUCGGCCUGCGUCUGAUUAGCUAGUUGGUGGGGUAAUGGCCCACCAAGGCUACGAUCAGUAGCUGGUCUGAGAGGAUGAUCAGCCACAUUGGGACUGAGACACGGCCCAAACUCCUACGGGAGGCAGCAGUGGGGAAUAUUGGACAAUGGGGGCAACCCUGAUCCAGCCAUGCCGCGUGGGUGAUGAAGGCCUUAGGGUUGUAAAGCUCUUUUAGCGGGGAAGAUAAUGACGGUACCCGCAGAAAAAGCCCCGGCUAACUUCGUGCCAGCCGCCGCCGUAAAAC